AUAGUAUCUGUACCCGCUCCCCAUGGAGCUGUAGUAGAUUAGGUGACAUUGGACCCCCUAAUCUGCAGGCCAUAGAGGGAACAUGGGACAUCUCCAGGCCAACUCCUUUUCUUAGUGAUGAGCAGUGACUUGCUUGAGCCCUGUUUUCUUUAGACGCUGACUCCUGCUGUCUACCAGAUCCUCGUGGUACAAUGACUGGUGUAGACUGGCUUGUUGAAGUCACUCUCUGGAUCUGAGCAACGCUGGCUGAGCCGUGAUGAAGUAUUCCUAUCCAUCCACUAUGCUUCACAGUGGGAAUCUCUCACUGUUCAUCACCGCUGCCCUAGCAGCCGCAGGGAUUCUUCACCCAUGGUUGCUUAGGUUUAUAAGCAAGGAAGCUGAAUGAAGUCCCUUUCCUCUCUGGAUGAGCCCCUGGGUUUCUGGAAGAGUCUUAAAAUCACCCCUAAAUGGCUUCCAAGCACUGAAGCCCGAGAUGUUAGCUGGCCUGUGUGAGGCCUUGAGACAGAAUGCCACAGCCACACCCCAAGGAUGCUGAAGGGGAUUUCCCUCCUCUGUGGUUUUUCUCCUUUCUUCCCGCAGCACUCCUCCUACGUGCUAACAUCUUCUAGUCAAACAACUCUCCUUUUCAAAGGGACCAGGCACAGUUUCUGCUUAUCCCUGAGUAGCAGUGUUCAGUUUCCUGCCAGCCUGUGGAGUUUUUCAAACAAGCCAAUCACCUCCUCCUGUGGGAACUGAGAAGCACCCCACCCUCUCGAUACUACAAAGCCCCUGCUUGUUCCCUAGUGCAACUCCCAUGUGGUCCUGUGGAGCAUAUGGUAUCUUCCUCUUCUGGGCAGUGAGCAUAUGUGACUAAUAAACUAUCUAUCUCAUCU
rnacentral:lncRNA from 1 species